GGUAGUAGCAAAUAUUCAAAUGAGAACUUUGAAGGGUGAAAAGGGGGAAAGGUUCAAUGUGAAUGGCACUAGCACAUGGGUUAGUCGAUCCUAUGGGUCGAGGGAACCCAAACAGAUGAUGCAUUUCGCGCGUACCUCGAAAGGGAAUCGGGUUAAGAUUCCUGAACCGGGACGUGAAGGUUGACGACAACGUUAAAAAGUCGGCAGAUGUCUGUGGGAGCCUCGGGAAGAGUUGUCUUUUCUGUUUAACAGCAUGCCCACCAUGGAAUCGGCUCUGCCGGAGGUAGGGUCCAACGGCUGGAAGAGCACCACACGUCGCGUGGUGUCUGGUGCGCUCCCGGCGACCAUUUAAAAUCCAGAGGAUCGAAUGUUGUCCACGCUUGGUCGUACUCAUAACCGCAUCAGGUCUCCAAGGUGAACAGCCUCUGGUC
rnacentral:rRNA from 1 species